AAUGAACGUUGGCGGCGUGGAUUAGGCAUGCAAGUCGAGCGAGAAGUGUAGCAAUACAUGGAAAGCGGCGAAAGGGACAGUAACACGUAGAUACCUACCCUUGGAUCUGGGAUAGCGGCGGGAAACUGCCAUUAAUACCGGAUAACGUCCCCGGACCAAAGGUUUCGGCCGUCCGAGGAGGGGUCUGCGUCCUAUUAGCUAGUUGGCGGGGUAAUGGCCCACCAAGGCUCAGAUGGGUAGCGGGUGUGAGAGCACGACCCGCGUCACUGGGACUGAGACACUGCCCAGACACCUACGGGAGGCUG
rnacentral:rRNA from 1 species